rnacentral:rRNA from 1 species
GACGAACGCUGGCGGCGUGCUUAACACAUGCAAGUCGAACGGAAAGGCCCUUCUUUUGUUGGGUGCUCGAGUGGCGAACGGGUGAGUAACACGUGAUUAACCUGCCCUUUACUUUUGGAUAACUUCAGGAAACUGGGGCUAAUACCGGAUAGGAGCUCCUGCUGCAUGGUGGGGGUUGGAUAGUUUCGGCGGUUGGGGAUGGACUCGCGGCUUAUCAGCUUGUUGGUGGGGUAGUGGCUUACCAAGGCUUUGACGGGUAGCCGGCCUGAGAGGGUGACCGGCCACAUUGGGACUGAGAUACGGCCCAGACUCCUACGGGAGGCAGCAGUGGGGAAUAUUGCACAAUGGGCGGAAGCCUGAUGCAGCAACGCCGCGUGCGGGAUGACGGCCUUCGGGUUGUAAACCGCUUUCGGCUGUGACGAAGCGUGAGUGACGGUAAUGGGUAAAGAAGCACCGGCUAACUACGUG